AGAACGAACGCUGGCGGCAGGCCUAACACAUGCAAGUCGAACGCCCCGCAAGGGGAGUGGCAGACGGGUGAGUAACGCGUGGGAACAUGCCUUUCGGUUCGGAACAGACCCGGGAAACUGGGAUUAAUACCGGAUACGUCCUCAGGGAGAAAGAUUUAUCGCCGAAAGAUUGGCCCGCGUCUGAUUAGCUAGUUGGCGGUGUAAUGGACCACCAAGGCGACGAUCAGUAGCUGGUCUGAGAGGAUGAUCAGCCACACUGGGACUGAGACACGGCCCAGACUCCUACGGGAGGCAGCAGUGGGGAAUAUUGGACAAUGGGCGCAAGCCUGAUCCAGCCAUGCCGCGUGAGUGAUGAAGGCCCUAGGGUUGUAAAGCUCUUUCGACGGGGACGAUAAUGACGGUACCGUAGAAGAAGCCCGGCUAACUUCGUGCCAGCAGCCGC
rnacentral:rRNA from 1 species